ACGCUGGCGGCGUGCUUAACACAUGCAAGUCGAACGAUGAACCAGGAGCUUGCUCUUGGGGAUUAGUGGCGAACGGGUGAGUAACACGUGAGUAACCUGCCCUUGACUCUGGGAUAAGCGUUGGAAACGACGUCUAAUACCGGAUACGAGCUUCAGCCGCAUGGCUAGGAGCUGGAAAGAAUUUCGGUCAAGGAUGGACUCGCGGCCUAUCAGCUAGUUGGUGAGGUAAUGGCUCACCAAGGCGACGACGGGUAGCCGGCCUGAGAGGGUGACCGGCCACACUGGAACUGAGACACGGUCCAGACUCCUACGGGAGGCAGCAGUGGGGAAUAUUGCACAAUGGGCGAAAGCCUGAUGCAGCAACGCCGCGUGAGGGACGACGGCCUUCGGGUUGUAAACCCCUUUUAGCAGGGAAGAAGCGAAAGUGACGGUACCUGCAGAAAAAGCACCGGCUAACUACGUGCCAGCAGCCGCGGUAAUACGUAGGGUGCAAGCGUUGUCCGGAAUUAUUGGGCGUAAGAGCUCGUAGGCGGUUUGUCGCGUCUGCUGUGAAAUCCCGAGGCUCAACCUCGGGUCUGCAGUGGGUACGGGCAGACUAGAGUGCGGUAGGGGAGAUUGGAAUUCCUGGUGUAGCGGUGGAAUGCGCAGAUAUCAGGAGGAACACCGAUGGCGAAGGCAGAUCUCUGGGCCGUAACUGACGCUGAGGAGCGAAAGGGUGGGGAGCAAAC
rnacentral:rRNA from 1 species